GUUGAACGCUGGCGGCAGGCUUAACACAUGCAAGUCGAGCGGAGAGAGGUAGCUUGCUACCGAUCUUAGCGGCGGACGGGUGAGUAAUGCUUAGGAAUCUGCCUAUUAGUGGGGGACAACAUUUCGAAAGGAAUGCUAAUACCGCAUACGUCCUACGGGAGAAAGCAGGGGAUCUUCGGACCUUGCGCUAAUAGAUGAGCCUAAGUCGGAUUAGCUAGUUGGUGGGGUAAAGGCCUACCAAGGCGACGAUCUGUAGCGGGUCUGAGAGGAUGAUCCGCCACACUGGGACUGAGACACGGCCCAGACUCCUACGGGAGGCAGCAGUGGGGAAUAUUGGACAAUGGGCGCAAGCCUGAUCCAGCCAUGCCGCGUGUGUGAAGAAGGCCUUAUGGUUGUAAAGCACUUUAAGCGAGGAGGAGGCUACUUUAGUUAAUACCUAGAGAUAGUGGACGUUACUCGCAGAAUAUGCACCGGCUAACUCUGUGCCAGCCGCCGCGGUAAAAC
rnacentral:rRNA from 1 species